GACGAACGCUGGCGGCGUGCCUAAUACAUGCAAGUCGAGCGGACCACUUCGGUGGUCAGCGGCGGACGGGUGAGUAACACGUGGGCAACCUGCCUGUAAGACUGGGAUAACACCGGGAAACCGGUGCUAAUACCGGAUAAUCCUUUCCUUCACAUGAAGGGAAUCUGAAAGACGGUUUCGGCUGUCACUUACAGAUGGGCCCGCGGCGCAUUAGCUAGUUGGUGAGGUAACGGCUCACCAAGGCAACGAUGCGUAGCCGACCUGGGAGGGUGAUCGGCCACACUGGGACUGAGACACGGCCCAGACUCCUACGGGAGGCAGCAGUAGGGAAUCUUCCGCAAUGGACGAAAGUCUGACGGAGCAACGCCGCGUGAGCGAUGAAGGCCUUCGGGUCGUAAAGCUCUGUUGUCAGGGAAGAACAAGUACCGGAGUAACUGCCGGUACCUUGACGGUACCUGACCAGAAAGCCACGGCUAACUACGUGCCAGCAGCCGCAGUAAAAC
rnacentral:rRNA from 1 species